rnacentral:rRNA from 1 species
AUUGAACGCUGGCGGCAGGCCUAACACAUGCAAGUCGAGCGGAUGAAGGGAGCUUGCUCCUGGAUUCAGCGGCGGACGGGUGAGUAAUGCCUAGGAAUCUGCCUGGUAGUGGGGGAUAACGUCCGGAAACGGGCGCUAAUACCGCAUACGUCCUGAGGGAGAAAGUGGGGGAUCUUCGGACCUCACGCUAUCAGAUGGGCCUAGGUCGGAUUAGCUAGUUGGUGGGGUAUAGGCCUACCAAGGCGACGAUCCGUAACUGGUCUGAGAGGAUGAUCAGUCACACUGGAACUGAGACACGGUCCAGACUCCUACGGGAGGCAGCAGUGGGGAAUAUUGGACAAUGGGCGAAAGCCUGAUCCAGCCAUGCCGCGUGUGUGAAGAAGGUCUUCGGAUUGUAAAGCACUUUAAGUUGGGAGGAAGGGCAGUAAGUUAAUACCUUGCUGUUUUGACGUUACCAACAGAAUAAGCACCGGCUAACUUCGUG